rnacentral:rRNA from 1 species
UACGGGGGGGGCAAGCGUUGUUCGGAAUUACUGGGCGUAAAGCGCGCGUAGGCGGCUCUUCAAGUCGAGUGUGAAAGCUCCAGGCUUAACCUGGGAAUUGCGCUCGAUACUGUUGAGCUAGAGUGUGGAAGGGGCUACUGGAAUUCCACGUGUAGCGGUGAAAUGCGUAGAGAUGUGGAGGAACACCGAUGGCGAAGGCAGCCUUCUGGGCCAACACUGACGCUCAUGCACGAAAGCGUGGGGAGCAAACAGG